AUUGAACGCUGGCGGCAGGCCUAACACAUGCAAGUCGAGCGGAGCGGCGGACGGGCGAGUAAUGAAUAGGUGUCUGCCUGGCCGAGGGGGAUGACGUCCGGAUACGGGCGCUAAUUACGCCUGCUUUCCAAUGAGCCUAGGUCGGAUUAGCUAGUUGGUGGGGUAAAGGCCUACAAAGGCGACGAUCCGUAACUGGUCUGAGAGGAUGAUCAGUCACACUGGAACUGAGACACGGUCCAGACUCCUACGGGAGGCAGCAGUGGGGAAUAUUGGACAAUGGGCGAAAGCCUGAUCCAGCCAUGCCGCGUGUGUGAAGAAGGUCUUCGGAUUGUAAAGCACUUUAAGUUGGGAGGCGUUACCAACAGAAUAAGCACCGGCUAACUUCGUGCCAGCAGCCGCGGUAAUUC
rnacentral:rRNA from 1 species